rnacentral:miRNA from 1 species
AUUGGCACGUCUUGGAAUGA